UACAGAGGGUGCGAGCGUUAUUCGGAAUUACUGGGCGUAAAGCGCACGUAGGCGGCUUGGUAUGUCGGGUGUGAAAUCCCCGGGCUCAACCUGGGAACUGCAUCCGAAACUGCCUUGCUAGAGUAUGGGAGAGGGAAGUGGAAUUUCCGGUGUAGCGGUGAAAUGCGUAGAUAUCGGAAGGAACAUCAGUGGCGAAGGCGACUUCCUGGACCAAUACUGACGCUCAGGUGCGAAAGCGUGGGGAGCAAACAGG
rnacentral:rRNA from 1 species